CGAGGAUGACGAUUCAAGAAGAAAAUGGCGCAGAGGUGCUCUGGAGGAAAAGAGGAAGAAGAGGUCUCGAGAAAAGGAAGAUGAUUCGGUCGAUAGACAGAAAGAGGAAGAAGAAAUUGCUGAGGCCAAGAGGAAGGCUGAGGAGGAACAGCUGCAGAAACAGAAAGACCCGCUGAAACUUGUAUCUGGUCAGAUGUCGAAUGUCAACGAGAAAACUAUUCUUGCUGAAGAAUCUGCUAAUGAGAUUAAAGUUAUGGCUUCUGAACGUGAAUCUGAGCUUGACUCUAGCUGUGAUAACCAUAUAGGGGAUGGGAUCUUGCAAAAUGGUAGUGGUG
rnacentral:misc_RNA from 1 species